rnacentral:misc_RNA from 1 species
GUUUUCAAGUGCCUUCAAUCCUUCUUCAGGAGACUGGGCUUCACCCAACAGCUUCACCAUAGCACUACCAACUAUGAUACCAUCAGCCCCCCAGCUAGCCACCUGUUUCACGUGCUCCGGUUUUGAUAUACCGAAACCUACUGCCACUGGUUUUUCCGUUACCUCUUUGAUUUCCUCAAGGAGAAUUUGAACUUUCUCACUUACUGAUGCACGGGCGCCAG